UCUGCGGGUGUUGUCAUGGGUUCACUUACUGCCAAUGGCUCAGUGCUGGCGCGGAGGUGAGGCGGGAAGGGUGGUGCGCCUGUGUAUCUGUCUGCGAUCACCGCCACCUCAUUUGAGAACCCCGUCCACACCUCAGUUACUAGGAAGCAGGAAUUGAAGUAGAGCUGCCGUAAAUCUGCAGACAUGCUGGAAGAACGACGACUCGCUCCUUAGUCCUUGAAUGUUCAGUGUUGCUUGGAGGUGCUGCACGUUACCAGGGGAAGGAAGUCUUACCUUACAAACUUGAGAUUUUACAGAUACCACCACUGCGCAUGGCGGUUGAAGGUGAGGCCUGACAGGGCGAAUACACACACCAGAUCCUUUGGACAAAAUGCAGUGCGAUCUUCACAGGAACAUUUGCUUGUCGAGGGUUGCGUCUACAGAAGGCUUACUUAGUCAAGUGUGUAAAGCUCCAUGUGGAUCGACGCUCACUUGAGGCUUGAGCGGCACAAGGUGGUGGUGGAGGUUCAAGGAGUUUCCCUGUGAAAUAAAUAUUUGUCAACA